AACAAGCGCUGGCGGCGUGCCUAAUACAUGCAAGUCGAACGGGGUAGCAAUACCUAGUGGCGCACGGGUGAGGAACGCGUGGAUAAUCUGCCUUAGAGUGGGGGAUAACUAGUCGAAAGAUUAGCUAAUACCGCAUAAGACCACAGGAGCUGCGGCUCUAGGGGUCAAAGGUUUUUCGCUCUAAGAUGAGUCCGCGUAAGAUUAGCUAGUUGGUGAGGUAACGGCUCACCAAGGCGACGAUCUUUAACUGGUCUGAGAGGAUGAUCAGUCACACUGGAACUGAGACACGGUCCAGACUCCUACGGGAGGCAGCAGUAGGGAAUAUUGCACAAUGGAGGAAACUCUGAUGCAGCGACGCCGCGUGAGUGAUGAAGGCCUUCGGGUCGUAAAGCUCUGUCGCAGGGGAAUAACACAAUGAAUGUACCCUGUAAGAAAGGAUCGGCUAACUUCGUGCCAGCCGCCGCAGUAAGAC
rnacentral:rRNA from 1 species